rnacentral:tRNA from 1 species
GGGGUUGUAGCUCAGUUGGUAGAGCGCAUGGAUGGCAUUCAUGAGGUCACGGGUUCGAUUCCCGUCAACUCCACCA